CGGGCCAAAGGCACGCGGACCCCGGGCCCAGCAGGUGCGCGGCGCCUGGAGGUCCGCAGGUCGGAAGCCUAGGGCGUGGGACGCCUGCGCGGAAUUCAGGCUGGCCUGCCUGGGGCGGGGCCUCGGGCGCGCUGGGCCGCGGAGCUGACGUCCGCAGGCCGAGGAGACAGUAUGGCCGCCCUCCGCGACGCCGAGAUCCGGAAGGACGUGCAGGACUACUAUGGGCAGACGCUGAAGAAAUCUGCGGACCUCCAGACCAAUGCUUGUGUGACCCCCGCCAGGCCUGUUCUCAAGCACGUCGGGGAAGCCCUGCGGAACGUGCACGAGGAAGUAGCCUUGCGGUACUAUGGCUGUGGUCUGGUCAUCCCGGAGCGUCUGGAAAACUGCUGGGUUUUGGAUCUGGGUAGUGGGAGUGGCAGAGACUGCUACGCGCUUAGUCAGCUGGUUGGUGAGAAGGGACGCGUCACUGGCAUAGACAUGACCAGAGGCCAGGUGGAAGUGGCUAAAAAGUAUCUUGACUACCACAUGGAAAAAUUUGGUUUCCAAACGCCCAAUGUGACUUUUGUCCAUGGCUACAUUGAGAAGCUGGGAGAAGCUGGAAUCAAGGAUGAGAGUUAUGAUAUUGUGAUAUCAAACUGUGUUGUCAACCUCGUGCCUGAUAAACAGCAGGUGCUGCAGGAGGUGUAUCGAGUGCUGAAGCAUGGCGGGGAGCUGUAUUUCAGUGACGUCUACGCCAGCCUUGAACUGCCAGAAGAAGUGAGGACUCACGGAGUUUUAUGGGGUGAGUGCCUGGGAGGCGCUUUGUACUGGAAGGAUCUCGCCAACUUUGCCAAAAACAUUGGGUUCUGCCCUCCACGUUUGGUCACUGCCAAUCUCAUUACAAUUCAAAACAAAGAACUGGAAAGAGUUGUCGGUGACUGUCGUUUUGUGUCUGCAACAUUUCGCCUCUUCAAACUUCCGAAGACAGGACCAGCCGAAAGAUGUCAAGUUGUCUACAGUGGAGGGAUCACAGGACAUGAGAAAGAACUGAUAUUUGAUGCAAAUUUCACGUUUAAGGUGCUUCUUAUGCUACCCUUCAGAAAGGUGAACUCCUGGAAGUGGAUGAAGAAACAGCCAUUAUCUUGAAGAAUUCACGAUUUGCUGAAGAUUUUCUGUUCCAACCGAUUGCAGAGAAGCCGCCGGCCUCUGGAGCCUGCCCUGUGUUAGAAGCCAAGGAUAUCAUCACAGAUCCGUUCCAGCUUGCAGGACAGCCUGACGCUGUGAAGUCCAGCUGUGUCCCUGACGCCGCUGGGGGCUGCUGUGGCAAAAAGAAGAGGUGCUGACCUGGCCGGGCUGGGAGCCCACCAGUGGGCAGAAGGCGCGAGAGCCAGGCGCACCUGCGUUCAACCUGCUUUUCCCUGUGGCACAAACAAUAGGAAGGUAUAAGUGGCAAAAUAGAGCUAUUCUCUGAAUCACUGGUAAAAAUAAGUGAAUCAUUUUUUGGAAAGUAUUAAUUAAAAUUCACAGAAAAUCACCAGAA